UACGUAGGGCGCAAGCGUUGUCCGGAAUUAUUGGGCGUAAAGAGCUCGUAGGCGGUUUGUCGCGUCUGCCGUGAAAGCCCGGGGCUUAACUCCGGGUCUGCGGUGGAUACGGGCAGACUAGAGGCAGGUAGGGGAGAACGGAAUUCCCGGUGUAGCGGUGAAAUGCGCAGAUAUCGGAAGGAACACCAGUGGCGAAAGCGGCUUCCUGGUCCAGCACCGACGUUCAGGCACGAAAGCGUGGGGAGCAAACAGG
rnacentral:rRNA from 1 species